AUUAUCAGCUCUUACCCAACUUACACAUGCAAGUCUCCGCAAUCCCGUGAGUAUGCCCUCAAUCCCCCGCCCGGGGACGAGGAGCGGGCAUCAGGCACAAAUUUUAGCCCAAGACGCCUGGCCAAGCCACACCCCCAAGGGAAUUCAGCAGUGAUAAACAUUAAGCCAUAAGUGAAAACUUGACUCAGUCAGGGUUAAGAGGGCCGGUAAAACUCGUGCCAGCCACCGCGGUUAAACGAGAGGCCCCAGUUGAUAACACCACGGCGUAAAGGGUGGUUAAGGAAAGCAAAACAAUAAAGCCAAAUGGCCCUUUGGCCGUCAUACGCUUCUAGGUGUCCGAAGCCCAAUCAUACGAAAGUAGCUUUAACAAAGCCCACCUGACCCCACGAAAGCUGAGAAACAAACUGGGAUUAGAUACCCCACUAUGCUCAGCCAUAAACCUAGACAUCCAACUACAAUUAAACGUCCGCCCGGGUACUACGAGCAUUAGCUUGAAACCCAAAGGACCUGACGGUGCCUUAGACCCCU
rnacentral:rRNA from 1 species